rnacentral:rRNA from 1 species
AGAACGAACGCUGGCGGCAUGCCUAACACAUGCAAGUCGAACGAAGGCUUCGGCCUUAGUGGCGCACGGGUGAGUAACGCGUGGGAACCUACCUCUUGGUUCGGAAUAACCGCGGGAAACUGCGGCUAAUACCGGAUAUGCCGGGCAACCGGGAAAGAUUUAUCGCCGAGAGAAGGGCCCGCGUCCGAUUAGGUAGUUGGUGGGGUAAAAGCCUACCAAGCCGACGAUCGGUAGCUGGUCUGAGAGGAUGAUCAGCCACACUGGGACUGAGACACGGCCCAGACUCCUACGGGAGGCAGCAGUGGGGAAUAUUGGACAAUGGGCGAAAGCCUGAUCCAGCAAUGCCGCGUGAGUGAUGAAGGCCUUAGGGUUGUAAAGCUCUUUCGGCGGGGACGAUGAUGACGGUACCCGCAGAAGAAGCCCCGGCUAACUUCGCGCCAGCAGCCGC